CAGCCGCCGCGGUAAUACGGAGGGUGCAAGCGUUAUCCGGAUUCACUGGGUUUAAAGGGUGCGUAGGCGGGCAGGUAAGUCAGUGGUGAAAUCCUGGAGCUCAACUCCAGAACUGCCAUUGAUACUAUCUGUCUUGAAUAUUGUGGAGGUAAGCGGAAUAUGUCAUGUAGCGGUGAAAUGCUUAGAUAUGACAUAGAACACCCAUUGCGAAGGCAGCUUACUACGCAUAUAUUGACGCUGAGGCACGAAAGCGUGGGGAUCAAACAGGAUUAGAUACCCUGGUAGUCCACGCCCUAAACGAUGGAUACUCGACAUACGCGAUACACUGUGUGUGUCUGAGCGAAAGCAUUAAGUAUCCCACCUGGGAAGUACGUUCGCAAGAAUGAAACUCAAAGGAAUUGGCGGGGGGAGCACAC
rnacentral:rRNA from 1 species